GAAACAACUCAGACUCAAUAUUUAGCUGGUUCCCCUUACGUAAGCUUACGUGGAAAGCUAUAAAUAAGCACUAGAUCACAGAAUUUCCGCUGAGCUGAGGCAUUCAUAGAGCCCCAAGAUAGAAGAUGACGCUAAAAAUUCAUAUUACUUAUUGUGGUGCAUGAGGAUACGCCCCCAAGUUUCGCAAAAUUAAAGCGGAACUUGAGAAAGAAUUUGGCAAUGACUUGGAAAUAACAGGGGAGGGAACUCCAACCACUACAGGUUGGCUGGAGGUCCAGAUUGUAGGAGGGGAACUUCUCCAUUCCAAAAAG